GGGGAAGUCUGACACCUUUCUUCCAAGGCCAUGAGUCGUUAGAUCAGCUACUCAUCAAACCACACCCUCAGGGACUCCUUUCAAAUAAUACUGUGUGUGAUCUAAUUGCAGGCAGAUUUUGUAAUUGCAGCCUUGCUUUUCUCCUGGCCUCCAGCUGCACGUGGCUGAUAGGCAUGGCUGCAGGUGGAAGGAGCAGGAGGCCCAUCCACAGUUGGGUUGGAUUUACAAAAUGUGCCCUAAAAUAAGUGCUAGUCCUGGGCUGUAUCAAGUGCUCUUUGGGAUUCUUAUCUUUCUUCAUUAACUAGCAGGAGACUACACAAAGAAGUCACGCUAGAAUCUUAUUUUCAAGGAGGCUGAAGCUCAGUGAGAGGAUUUAAUGAACAUACUGACCAUCUCCUUGAGUAAACCAACUGAUUUAUAUUUUCUGUGUUCAACUGCUUGAAAACAUUCUUCAAGGAAACAACUGUCUAGACAAGAUCACAGUAAAUCCUCUGUUGCACAAGUGGUGGGAAAAGAGGAUGGCCUUGGCAUGAACGAGUCUUUAUUCUGUUGAGAGCUGAAAGGCGUGUUAGACUGGUUAAUGCCAAGUUGGCAGUCAAUCAUUUCAGCCUCACACUUGCUUAAAGAACAAAAAGAACAGCUAAUUACUCCAUGGAAUCAAAAUGACAUUCCCAAGCACUUCCCAAAGGUCAUCAGCAGUGUUGGAUUUUGAAGAGUCACAAGGAAACCUCUGUAACGAGAACAACAAAAAAAAAAACUGGCUGAAGUAAUAUUGUGCCUUUUUAUAUGGAUAAGCUACUGGAAAAUAGCAAAUUUCAAAUAGUUUGCUAAUCAACAGAGAA
rnacentral:lncRNA from 1 species